UAAUUGAUAAAGUGCUCUACUAGGAUAAUGCG
rnacentral:tRNA from 1 species